AAGAAAUUAAGUUCUCCGAUCAUGCUCAUUUCAAACUCACUCCCCAUUAGGUUAGCAAAGUCUUUACUCAACCUAUCUGAAUUUGCCUAAAAUAUUAUGUCAUCAACAUAUAUUUGUACAACAAGAAGAUCUUUACCCUUUUCCAUUAGGAACAAGGUGCUGUCAAUUUUACCUCUUUUGUACCCAUGCUCCAGAAGGAAUUUUGAC
rnacentral:lncRNA from 1 species